rnacentral:rRNA from 1 species
CAUUACUGAAUUCAUGGGGUGUUGUCGCUGGCUCUUCGGAGCAUGUGCACGCACUUCAAAUUCAUCUUUACCACCUGUGCACUUUUGUAGACUGUGAUAACUCUCAAUGGUUUUUCCGUUGGAUUGAAGGACUUGCGUUUAGCUGUCUUUCAACUUCACAGUCUAUGUCUCAUCUACUAUAAAAAGUCUAGAAUGUAACUUGUGGGUCUUUUGACCUAUAAAACUUAUACAACUUUCAACAACGGAUCUCUUGGCUCUCGCAUCGAUGAAGAACGCAGCGAAAUGCGAUAAGUAAUGUGAAUUGCAGAAUUCAGUGAAUCAUCGAAUCUUUGAACGCACCUUGCACUCCUUGGUAUUCCGAGGAGUAUGCCUGUUUGAGUGUCAUUAAAUUCUCAAACCUCUUUGACUUUAUUGACAAAGAGGCUUUGGAUGUGGGAGUUGCUGGCUUUUACGAGUCAGCUCUCCUUAAAUGCAUUAGUGGUUACUGUUCUCCACUUCCUGGUGUGAUAAUAUCUACGCCUAGUGGAGAUGUUAAGUGUAGCUGCUUUCUAACCGUCCAUGCAAUGUGGACAACUUGAACCAUUUG